rnacentral:pre_miRNA from 1 species
AGCGGGAGCGCAGGAUCCUGGGCUGUGUCCUCUGGUGUCCUGGGCUCUGGGGCCUGCACCACUGGGAUUGUGCUUCCGGGCCGCACAGCCCCCU